rnacentral:rRNA from 1 species
UACGGGGGGUGCGAGCGUUGUCCGGAAUUACUGGGCGUAAAGCGCACGUAGGCGGCUUUGUAAGUUAGAGGUGAAAGCCCGGGGCUCAACUCCGGAAUUGCCUUUAAGACUGCAUCGCUAGAAUUGUGGAGAGGUAAGUGGAAUUCCGAGUGUAGAGGUGAAAUUCGUAGAUAUUCGGAAGAACACCAGUGGCGAAGGCGACUUACUGGACACAUAUUGACGCUGAGGUGCGAAAGCGUGGGGAGCAAACAGG